AUAAAAACUACUAAAUAGCAAUGACAUAUCAUCCAGAUGCACUGUCUAUUACAUCGUGAUGCAGUAUAAAAGUAAAUUGAGAGCCCCUUCUCCCCAAAAGACAAGAAUCGAAAAUUAUACAUUAGUAGCUUAGAGACAACCAGUAACGAAUACGGAACGAUAUGGGUACCGAAGGAGCAGAACAGAAUGGCGUUUUCAGGGUCACGAUUAAGAAGAAGGAGGUGGUGGCAGCAGUGCUACCAUUGCAAGAACAUUGGUUGUCACUCUCCGACCUAGACCUGCUUCAUCAACUUGUUGAAGUUGCGCGGUAACAUAGAGUAGAUUCUUAAAGAAGAUUAAAUCUGUGUUUUGAACUAUUUGGUUCUAGAAGAUUAGUACCACACUUUAUACAUAGCUACAAGUGAUGCAAAUUCUAAAUAAUAGUUCAAGACUGUUAUGAACUUUCAGCUGAGUAUGAAGGGAAACACAACCCUCAAAAGUUGGCGGAACUUGGGAAAGUGCUAACAAGUUUGGAUCUUGGGGAUUCAAUUGUUGUUACGAAGUCAUUCUCUCACAUGCUUAACUUGGCCAAUCUGGCUGAGGAAGUUCAGAUCGCUUAUAGACGAAGAAUCAAAUUGAAGAAAGGAGAUUUUGCUGAUGAGAACUCAGCAACAACUGAAUCAGACAUUGAAGAGACCCUAAAAAGACUGGUGGUGCAAUUGAAGAAAUCCCCAGAAGAAGUUUUUGAUGCUUUGAAGAACCAGACUGUGGAUUUAGUCUUAACUGCACAUCCUACUCAAUCUGUUAGAAGAUCUUUGCUUCAAAAGCACGAUACGGGACUGUUUGACUCAGUUGUACGCUAAGGGCAUUACUCCAGAUGAUAAGCAGGAACUUGAUGAGGCCUUACAAAGAGAGAUUCAAGCUGCAUUCCGCACAGAUGAAAUCCGAAGGACUCCUCCGACUCCACAAGAUGAGAUGAGAGCAGGAAUGAGCUACUUCCAUGAGACUAUAUGGAAGGGUGUCCCGAAGUUCUUGCGCCGUGUUGACACAGCUUUGAAGAAUAUUGGGAUAAAUGAGCGAGUUCCUUAUAAUGCUCCUCUCAUCCAAUUCUCCUCUUGGUGGGUGGAGAUCGUGAUGGUGUGUUUCUUUGUUACAUAAAGUAGUUUUCUGCUAGGCAGAUUUCUUGUACCCCAAAAUGAUAUUUGAAAGUGAAGUUGCAAAAUUUUUUAUUUGCAUA